UGGGGAAUAUUGCACAAUGGGCGCAAGCCUGAUGCAGCCAUGCCGCGUGUAUGAAGAAGGCCUUCGGGUUGUAAAGUACUUUCAGCGGGGAGGAAGGUGGUAAGGUUAAUAACCUUGGCAAUUGACGUUACCGACAGAAGAAGCACCGGCUAACUCCGUGCCAGCAGCCGCGGUAAUACGGAGGGUGCAAGCGUUAAUCGGAAUUACUGGGCGUAAAGCGCACGCAGGCGGUUGAUUGAGUCAGAUGUGAAAUCCCCGGGCUUAACCCGGGAAUUGCAUCUGAUACUGGUCAGCUAGAGUCUUGUAGAGGGGGGUAGAAUUCCAGGUGUAGCGGUGAAAUGCGUAGAGAUCUGGAGGAAUACCGGUGGCGAAGGCGGCCCCCUGGACAAAGACUGACGCUCAGGUGCGAAAGCGUGGGGAGCAAACAGG
rnacentral:rRNA from 1 species